AAAACUUGAUGUACUAAAUGUUGAAAACCACGAAACAUGAGGGUAGUAAAUAGAGAUUUACCUUUUUUUUUUUAAAUAGAGAUUGGUUGUUCAUGUGUAACUAUUGUUUCAUAUACAUGAGUCUUUGUCUACAUCCUACAUGUGCCCUCAUUGUACUUUUCUCUUCUUUGCUAAUACGUUUUAGUAGAUAUGGGUGUCUAGGGAGCUAGGGACCAAGGGCAUUAAGUUUAUCGGGGGCCGAAAUUCCCUCUAAUCGCUAUGUGUUGGGAAAGUAAGCUGUUGUAGUAGUUCGAUGACUUAACCCCGAAUGUAUAGUUCUGCUCACAUAAUCAUUUGGCCCUUGCCAUGCCAAUGCUAGAUUUAAGAAAAAAUUAAAACAAAAAUCGUAAAAAUUAAGAACACUUCUGCUUAAGAAUAGGGAACAUAUAUAUGUGAUAUCCAAAGGCGCCAUUGAAGCCACAUUCCUAAUAAUUAUCUCCUUUUUGUAGUCAAAAUUUCACGCAUAACUAAUUGAGGUUAAGGAGAGUUGAUUAGUCAUCAAAUAAUUGAAGACCUUCGGUUCAAAUUGUUGGAUUCCACAUCAGCAUGGCAUGGAGAGUUCAUUUCAUCCAGAUUGCAUUUGUUCGUUCAUUCUGUCAUAUCAGUUAAAAUCAUAGACUCAAAGAUUGACAGACAAGAUGAACAAUUGAAGGAAGGUCGAUCGCAUUUGGAAUUCACGAUCCUUAUCGAAAGUGCAGUACAUGAAUUUGUAAUGAAAUAAGUGUGGGGUGGCCGGGUGGGGGUCCUUGAAGUUUGAGACACUGUCUUAAUAUGGAAAAAACACAAAGCAUAUCAAUGCCUAACACACCAAAAAAGAAGCAUUUAUUUGGCUUGUAGGCAACUUUACUCGUACGCCAAACACUUGACAAAGUCAUUCACCUCUUCUUUAGACAGUGCAUGCAUCGAUUUUGUCUCCGGUUUUCUUUGGAAAUAAACUUUCUUCGUUCUUUGUGAGCUUUAAUUUCACCGCGCCCUUCAUUAGCUUCGCCACUGUAUGUGAAAGCUUCAAUUUCAUCAUGUAUAUUCCAUGCAAUUGCAUAUAUAAACUAAUCGGAUUGUUGUAAUGAAUAAACACACUUAAUUCUCUCAUAUGGAGAGGAGGGCCGGGGUGGGCUGGGUUAGAGUGGCUAAGUUUCUGACACACCCCGAUUCGGAAUGUCCACAAGGACUCCAAAUCAAGUUGUGUUGCCCGACACCUGAAUGGGCGGAAACAGAAAAUGUGAAUGGCCUGAAAACAAAGUUUUAAUAAAGAUCUUCUAAACGUUAUAACCACCUGCUUAGUUUCCAGAAAAUCAUACUACAUAUAAGGAUGAAAUCAAUUGUAUACUAUUAGUAAAUCCAGAAGUAUACCAUGAUUCAACAUCUCAUCAGCAAUAUAAAUAAUCAGGUGCUUAAUAAUCCAUACUAGCAUGCAAGUCGGAGUCACCUAAUGUGAUUUGUACGACUACACCCAUAUCUCAUCAAUUAAUGCUAGCACGUAAGUCGGAGUCACCUAU
rnacentral:lncRNA from 1 species